rnacentral:lncRNA from 10 species
AAAAGUUAACAUCCCGGAACAGUGCAGAAGGCUUGGGUUUCAGUUUGCUAGGGCCCCCAUAACAAAAUGCCACAGAACCAGGUGGUUUAAACAACAGAGAUUUAUUUUCUCACAUUUGGAGGCUUCCCCUGCAUGGCAGCCAGCCUCUAAGUUGGCCCCCAACCAUCCCUGCCUUCUUCUAUUCACACCCUUGUGUGGUUCCUUCCCACAUUGAAUAGGCCUGACUUGUGUAACCACUACACUAUUGAAGAAAUGAGAGUUUGACUUCUGAGGGUAAGUCAUAAAAUACA